AGUGAACGCUGGCGGUAGGUCUAACACAUGCAAGUCGAACGGCAGCACAGUAAGAGCUUGCUCUUACGGGUGGCGAGUGGCGGACGGGUGAGGAAUACAUCGGAAUCUACUUUUUCGUGGGGGAUAACGUAGGGAAACUUACGCUAAUACCGCAUACGACCUACGGGUGAAAGCAGGGGAUCUUCGGACCUUGCGCGAUUGAAUGAGCCGAUGUCGGAUUAGCUAGUUGGCGGGGUAAAGGCCCACCAAGGCGACGAUCCGUAGCUGGUCUGAGAGGAUGAUCGGCCACACUAGAACUGAGACACGGUCCAGACUCCUACGGGAGGCAGCAGUGGGGAAUAUUGGACACUGGGCGCCAGCCUGAUCCAGCCAUACCGCGUGGGUGAAGAAGGCCUUCGGGUUGUAAAGCCCUUUUGUUGGGAAAGAAAAGCAGCCGCUUAAUACCCCGCUGUUCUGACGGUACCCUAAGAAUACGCACCGGCUAACUUCGUG
rnacentral:rRNA from 1 species